UCUACCAUCCCUGUAGCAUCAUACCAAAACUGGAAUGAACUGAGAAGAGAAGACUGCAUGGCCCUUGCACAAGGAAGAAACACUUAUUGGUGCAGCAUUCCAUACUUUU